rnacentral:ncRNA from 1 species
CUUAUCGUGAGUUAAGGGCUGAAGAAAGCGUGUAUCAAAAUCUUCGCUCAACGAACAAAAAUCGGAUACCAAGGCUAUGUAGGUGGAUAAGGCUCCACAACAAGUAAAAGUUCUAAAGGAUGUGCGUAAUCCUAUAGAAGAAAUUAGGCGAGUAAAAGAGGAAAGAUAUAGUU